GACGAACGCUGGCGGCGUGCUUAACACAUGCAAGUCGAACGCGCCUGUCCUCUGGGUUUCUGGGGGGUGGGUGAGUGGCGAACGGGUGAGUAACACGUGAGUAACCUGCCCCCUUCUUCGGGAUAACGGUCUGAAAGGGCUGCUAAUACCGGGUAUUCACUGGUCUCCGCAUGGGGUCUGGUGGAAAGGUUUUUUUCUGGUGGGGGAUGGGCUCGCGGCCUAUCAGCUUGUUGGUGGGGUGAUGGCCCACCAAGGCUUUGACGGGUAGCCGGCCUGAGAGGGUGACCGGUCACAUUGGGACUCAGAUACGGCCCAGACUCCUACGGGAGGCAGCAGUGGGGAAUAUUGCACAAUGGGCGCAAGCCUGAUGCAGCGACGCCGCGUGAGGGAUGGAGGCCUUCGGGUUGUGAACCUCUUUCGCCCGUGGUCAAGCCGCGACGUGGGUCGUGGUGAGGGUAGUGGGUAAAGAAGCGCCGGCUAACUACGUG
rnacentral:rRNA from 1 species